rnacentral:rRNA from 1 species
UACGUAGGGGGCAAGCGUUGUCCGGAUUUAUUGGACGUAAAGAGCGCGCAGGCGGUCGUUCAAGUCGCGUGUGAAAGCCCCCGGCUCAACUGGGGAGGGUCACGCGAUACUGAUCGACUCGAAGGCAGGAGAGGGAAGUGGAAUUCCCGGUGUAGUGGUGAAAUGCGUAGAUAUCGGGAGGAACACCAGUGGCGAAGGCGACUUCCUGGCCUGUUCUUGACGCUGAGGCGCGAAAGCUAGGGGAGCAAACGGG